rnacentral:lncRNA from 1 species
AGUCUAUUUCAGGCGGGAGAGGGGGCUGCAAAGGGGGUAACCGGGGCAGAUUUAAAUAUUCCUGUUUUUUUUUUAAUUUCUUUGAACAAGGUGUUCGAACUACAAGAACUAUUCGGGUCUACAUAUCUUGCUGAGAUUGCUAUCAAUAGUAGACAUAGUGUACAACUUGAAGAUGUAUAUGAUCUCAUGAGUACCGUUGCAAGUGUCAAAUGUAUAGAACAAAUAUGAAAAAUGUGAUAAGUGGUGGUUAUAAAGGUUAG